GAUGAACGCUGGCGGCGUGCCUAAUACAUGCAAGUCGAGCGAACAGACGAUGAGCUUGCUCCUUUGACGUUAGCGGCGGACGGGUGAGUAACACGUGGGUAACCUACCUAUAAGACUGGGAUAACUUCGGGAAACCGGAGCUAAUACCGGAUAAUAUUUCGAACCGCAUGGUUCGAUAGUGAAAGAUGGCUUUUCUAUCACUUAUAGAUGUACCUGCGCCGUAUUAGCUAGUUGGUAAGGUAAAGGCUUACCAAGGCAACGAUGGGUAGCCGACCGAAGAGGGUGAUAGGCGAAACGGGAAGGGAGACACGGUACAGAGUGCUACGGGAGGCAGCAGAAGGGAAGAGUACGGAAUGGGAGAAAGCAGGAAGGAGAAAAGCCGCGUGAGUGAAGAAGGAAUUCGGAUCGUAAAACUCGGUUAUUAGGGAAGAAAAAACGAGAAAGAAAAUGUGCACGUAGUGACGGUACCUAAUAAGAAAGCAACGGCUAACUACGUG
rnacentral:rRNA from 1 species